rnacentral:tmRNA from 1 species
GGGGGCGAAUGGAGUUGACAGAGCGAUAGCAGCAUGAGUUGCGCGCCGAGGCGCCGCUGGCCUCGUAAAAAGCGGCAAAGCCUAUAAACGGCACAAACAGCUACGCACUGGCCGCCUAAUAGGGCAGCCCGUCUGCCCGAUCCCCUCCGGCGGGGUCGGUUCCAGGCGUAACAAAUGCCGGAUUACCUGACGGACCUCGCUCGGGGAGCCUGAAGGGACACUAAAUCGAGCUGGCGCAGAGGUAUCCCGCCCGAGGGAGACCGAAGCGCGAGAACCAAAUCUCGGGAUACGCUCGUAGAUGCUCAUGUGCGCUGUUCUCUGGACCGGGGUUCGAGUCCCCGCGCCUCCACCA